rnacentral:rRNA from 1 species
CAGGCCUAACACAUGCAAGUCGAGGGAGAAGGUAUCUUCGGAUACUAGAGACCGGCAGACGGGUGAGUAACACGUGGGAACAUACCUUGUACUGGGGGAUAACAGUUGGAAACGACUGCUAAUACCGCAUACGCCCUUCGGGGGAAAGAUUUAUCGGUAUAAGAUUGGCCCGCGUUAGAUUAGCUAGUUGGUAGGGUAACGGCCUACCAAGGCGACGAUCUAUAGCUGGUUUGAGAGGAUGAUCAGCCACACUGGGACUGAGACACGGCCCAGACUCC